AUACAGAGAGCCAUGCCUCACCCACAGGGGUAACAUAAGGAGCUGAGCAGAGAACAGAGCUCCACAUUCUUCUAGAAAACAUAAAAGGUCACAAGUAGACGUUCGCACUGACUGCUUGAAAGGAUCUGUGAGAUCAAAGGACAGCAAGAAAUCAAACCUAGACUGCGUAUCAGGCGAGUAUCCAAAGAAUCUACAGAAUUUGCCAGGAGGAUAAAGUAGAAUAAAAAGCAUCAGCUCAUUUUUAUGACUCAAAUCUCAGCAACAAUCACACACUUGUUUUUUUCCAUAUAACACAGGGAACUAAAGCAUUUAACUGUACCCAUUCCAAACCAACUGCUCAUCCAUUCUCUGUGGACCUGCACUGACCACUGGGAAUUUGCCAACAGAAGGCCCCUGGCGCCUCGGCCUGGUGACAGGUGACCUGAAUCUUGCAGGACAAUGACAAUGUGCUGUAUCUCACAAUGAGAUCUUUUUAAGGAUUACAUUGAAUCCAGGAAAGGUAACACAAUAAGUCAUAUUCUAAAAUAGAGAUGGGGGAAUUCCCAGAAUAUUACCUAGCUCGAAUACGACACAUUUUAAUCCCCCAAAGUUACUCUUUAGAUAACUGUCCAGCACCUGACUUUUCCAUCUUCCCUGGGUGUCUUUUGAUGAUUCAUCAUGAAAGACAAUUUCAGGACUGUCUUCUCCAUAAGGACACAGCCAGUUCCCCAGCAGUGAAGGGAUGCAUAAAUAGGAAAGAUGAAGGCUGAUGCUGACCAGGCCACUGCUGGGCUCAGGGGCUCCUGUGCUGGCUCCUCAGUCUGGACUAAAUGUCCCAGUGCAGCCAGCUGUGCUAAAGCUCCAGUCUCCAGAUAAGAAAGAGAUAAGAGCCCAAAUUCCCAAACAGAUCAGUUUCGCUUGGCCUGACAGUGACACUCCCUCUGCCUUCUCCUUGCAGAAAAGUAGCACAGAGCAACCUGAUAUUCCCUAAUCAGUGAUUUUUCUGUUUUGUCUCAUAAUCCUGCUUCUUAUAAGGAAAGUGACUUUGAAAGAACCAAUCCAGCUAUUUGUUGUUUUUGCUCUCUUCAGCCCUUCUCUGGCUAUAAAACCAACUUCUGCACAGCUCAUCACAUACUUAUUCUAUUUUAUGGAUUAAAGGGCUGCUCAUUUCUAGAAUGCAAAACAAAGCCAAGUUGUAAUUUUGUCCUUUGACCACAACUGCAGGGCAGGAGUCAGUCCUGGCGGGCAGGGCCUGUGGCGGUGUGCAGGAGGGACGUGCAGGAGGGGACACCACCGCCAGUCAGCUGCAGAAUGGAAGACCUGGAGGGACUGCCGUGCAGUGGGAACAGGUAGGAGACGGUGACACCUCUGGGGACAGCCCCGAGCAGCAAGAUAUGAAAGUGAUCUUCUUCAGGCAACUUCAAUCACCGUGCUGACAAUGCUCUGGCAAAUCAAAGAAUCUCCCUGGCUGGCUUUGAAUCCCAGGCUGGCCUUGAACGUGCGAUCCUCCUGCCUCAGCCUCCAGAAUGCUGAGACUGCAGGCAUGCACCAUCAUGCCUGGCUGAGAUGACUGAUUUUCAUCAAUAUUUCAAAACUCAAGGCUACUGGACACAGAAUUAAUUGAAAUAACAAAAGUCCAGAUAAGACAUUUAAAUCAACCUCGUUAGAUUUGACCAAUUAGUUCUGUACACCUACUUAGAUUGGGCUGGCCUGAAAUACAAAUAUAAAUAGUGCCAGGAAAAGAGACAAGGAACACAAAUGACCACCUGAUGCGUGAUAGUAUCCCAAGGUUGGAGUCCUUGUCACGGACAGUGCUGUCUGAACAUCAGCACCUGCAAUGCAGGGCACAGACCAUGGUCAGGACAAUGACAUUUAGGUGCCACACAUUUUCCUGGCUAUGGUCAUGAAUGAUGGGAUUUCUGCCUUGUUAAAGACAGUCAUGCAUCCCUGGUCUGCCUUUUAGAGAUGGUUGAGUUAGAGAAGGUUGAAGAUGGCACUUGCAACUGGAUUCCACUGACUGCAGGGAAGAGCUGUCUGUAGACGAGGAGCUACGUGUCUGAUGUUAUCCUUACUACAUUUUACUUUUGCAAUUAAUUAAACUGAGAGAACAAGAGCAAAAUGUGAUAAACAUGCAGAGUGCUUCAGGGAAGCCAGGCUCUCAAGCUUCCCUUGAAUAACCGACAAAGCUUUUCAGAAAAGCAAAAAAGAGCAGAAGGGAUGGACAUCUGGAUUAUAUGGAGACUGCUACAGACUUCUAGACUGGAAUUCAGGCUUCUAUGCUGAUCAGAUUAUAGCCAAUGGGAAUGCUGGAGGUCUGGGAAAUGCCUACAUGAUUACCAACAAUUUUUGUCAGCUAGAGGGCUAAAAUUAAUCAUAGGAAGAAGUUCACAACCUUAAUUUACUGGGAAACAAUCCAAUCUUAGCUGUUGGGCUUCCAUUUUUAAUAACCUGUUCCCAAAGCAGCUAGACUCCUAAAUGUCACCCUGGUGCAGCUGAAGAGGAAUAAGUCUAGGUAGAAUUCAUCAGCCCAUUUCCCAAGCAAAUGGUGAAGCUAAAAUGUGAGGCGGCCCAAGCUGUACUUGUGCACAAUACUAGGUCCUAAGUACUUUAAUGGGUUAUAUUUUAUAGGGACUUCAGACUUUCCAAAGUGCAAGUAGACUGGAUGGGACCCCGGUCUCACUCUGGGUUCCACCUAGGUGACUUUGGGCAAGAUUCCAUUCUGAGCCUUUGUUUUCUGUGCAAUAAAAGCUCCUUUCUUGUCCCCCUGGCUCCUAGGGUUAGGGUUAGGGUCGGAGUUGGGGUUAAGGUCAGGGUGAGCUGAAGGUGAUGCUGCAAGGUUGGUGAGGGUUGCUGGGGUGUACUGAGCUGUUGGCUGGAUCCCACCUGUUUCCUCUUGCUGGCCCAGCAUUACCAGGGGAGGUGGGGAGUGGCUGAAGAGAUACCAGCUAUCUCUCUAAUACCAACUCCUUCUGAGACCAGAACAUGGCUUCCCAGUGUAUAUGCUUCCAUG